AGAGGCGUCAGGAUCCCUGGCGCCGCCUGAGCCAGCGGCUGCUAGGAGGCUGUGUCCGCAAGCCAGCGGGGCGAGGCGGCUGGGCCCUGCGCGUCAGGUCCCGGCCUGGGGCACCGGGGCUGCCAGCGUCGGAGGAGGCCUGAGAACUGGGAGGAAGCUGGAGAAAAGAUGCCCUCUGAAUCUUUGUGUUUGGCUGCCCAGGCUCGCCUUGACACCGAAUGGUUGAAAACAGAUAUACAGAUGAUAGUGUCGAACCAAGUGGAACAAAGAAAGAAGAUCUGAAUGACAAAGAGAAAAAAGAUGAAGACGAAACUCCUGCACCUGUAUAUAGGGCCAAGUCAAUUCUGGAGACCUGGGUGUGGGUCAAGCAACCAGUCUGGCUCUGUUAUCCAGGCUGGAAUGCAGUGGCGUGAUCUCAACUCAUUGCAAGCUCCACCUUCUGGGUUCAUGCCAUUCUCCUGCUUCAGCCUCCUGAGUAGCUGGGACUACAGGCGCCCAACACCACACCUGGCUAAUUUAUUGUAUUUUUUAGUAGAGACGGGGUUUCACCUUGUUAGCCAGGAUGGUCUCGAUCUCCUGACCUCGUGAUCCACCCGCCUCGGCCUCCCAAAGUGCUGGGAUUACAGGCUUGAGCCACCACGCCCAGACUUGUGAGGUUUUAAUAUGAAGUAUUAAAGCUAUGCUGGUUAGACAAUUUGGAAAAUGUUUCUUCUCCUAUUUCUGACAGAGUUUAUGUAAGAUGUGUGCUAUUUCUUCCUUAAGCAUUUGGAAAGAAUUCACUUAUUAAGCCAUGUGAGACUGUAGUUUUCUUUAUAAGGUGUUUAACUACAGGUUCAAUUACAUAUAUAUAAAUAUUCAUUUUGGUAACCUGUGUUUGCUGAAUCAAUUUGUUCAUUUUAUCGAAAAUUUCAAAGUUAUUCUAUUAUUCAUUUAUCUUUUUAAUACUUAUAAAGUCUCCGGUUAGAGUUUGUGCCUUUUGUCUGUUUUGUUAAUCAAUCUUGCUGGAGGCCAUCAAUUUUAUUAGUGUUUCAAAAAAGCAAACUUUGAUUUUAUUCAUCCCUUUACCAUACUGAAAAUGUUUUGCUUAAUUUCCAAACUUAUAGUUCCACUGUGAUUAAAUAUUUGUAUAACUAAAACUCUGUGGAAUUUGUGUCUUCUCAAUGAUUGAAAAUAUGAUUAAUUUUUAUAAAUAUUGCUUCUGCACUUGAAAAGGAUAUGUAUUCUGCAUGUUGAGCGUAGUGUACCACGUAUCUCAGUUAGGUCCAGUGUGUUAAAUGCAUCCUUUAAAGAUUCUAUGUGCUUACUGAUGUUUGUUUAUUUUUCAGUGGCUGAGACACAGAUAUUAAAGUUUCCCACAAUGAUC
rnacentral:lncRNA from 1 species